CAGAGGUGCUACUCAGCAGUCCUGUGCCGAUGUAUCUGAAUCCUACGGCAUGUUAAUAGACACCAACCUCUGUGGAUUGAUUCCCAUUUGUAACCCCACAUCCUCCCACAUUAAUGACGACGUUGACGUGCGCGUAACGUCACACCAUGAACUCACACGCACGUUCUGGGGUCAAAGGCCGGUUAUGGCCAAUCGGAUCCACAAGAGGGUUAUUUAACGUAGCUAUUCC